rnacentral:sRNA from 1 species
CACGAAGGUUGGCUAAUCCUGGUCGGACAUCAGGAGGUUAGUGCAAUGGCAUAAGCCAGCUUGACUGCGAGAGUGACGGCUCGAGCAGGUGCGAAAGCAGGUCAUAGU